UGCAGCCCUGUCAAAUUCAGUCCCUGCCUCCCCUGUGGUGGGGACUGGCCAAACGGCUGCUACAGCAACUUCUGUGGUCCACGAGCCCCACGUCCCCUUCCCAUGGGACCCUGGGGAUGGAAUGACAGCAGGGACAG
rnacentral:snoRNA from 1 species